rnacentral:lncRNA from 1 species
GCAGAGAGAAUGGAUUCGGCGGAGAACGACGGAGAACAAGUAAACACGAAAGAUGGUUUUUUACGGGAGACGAAGAAACUUAGUUACAUCGCCGGUCCGAUGAUUGCGGUGAGCUCGUCUAUGUAUGUUCUUCAGGUGAUAUCGAUAAUGAUGGUUGGUCAUCUCGGUGAGCUUUUCCUCUCUAGCACCGCAAUUGCCGUUUCUUUCUGCGGCGUCACCGGUUUAAGCGUCGUCGUAUGUCUCUUUCUUGAUUUCCAUGUCUCUUUUUCUUCCUUUAAUUAGCUCAAGAUUCUAAAAUUGUGGUUGUCGUAAUCACACAGUUUGGAUUGGCUAGUGCAUUGGAGACUUUGUGUGGUCAAGCUCAUGGAGCUAAGCAAUUCGAGAAGCUUGGUUAUCAUACUUACACAGGGAUUGUCUCUUUGUUUCUUGUGUGUAUUCCUUUGUCUGUGCUAUGGAGUUACAUGGGUGAUAUACUUUCCCUUAUUGGACAAGAUCCUAUGGUUGCUCAACAAGCAGGGAAGUUUGCAACUUGGCUCAUACCCGCGCUCUUUGGUUACGCUACUUUGCAGCCGCUUGUUCGUUUUUUCCAAGCGCAGAGUCUAAUUUUGCCUUUGAUUAUGAGCUCAGUCUCUUCUCUCUGUGUCCACGUUGUCCUCUGUUGGAGCUUGGUCUUUAAGUUUGGUCUUGGGAGCCUCGGUGCAGCUAUUGCGCUUGACGUUUCUUACUGGCUAAACGUGAUUGUUCUUGGAUUAUACAUGACGUUUUCUUCUAGCUGUAGCAAGAGCCGUGCAACUAUCUCCAUGAGUGUGUUUAAAGGAAUGGGAGAGUUUUUCCGGUUUGGAGUCCCAUCUGCCCUUAUGAUUUGGUAUAUCAACUUCUCUUCAUGCCUCUUUUGGUUAAGUCACAGAGUUGUUGAAAUUUGAAUUAAUUGGCUUGAAUCUUUGUGGUGUUGAAUUAGCCUCGAGUGGUGGUCAUUCGAAAUUCUGCUCUUACUCUCUGGGAUCUUACCAAAUCCAAAGCUAGAAGCCUCUGUUCUCUCAAUCUGGUAUGUUCUUUUCAUCUUCUAAUGAUUUUGUGUUGGAAUGGACUAUUAUCAUAUACAACUCAGUUGCUUUCAUUCUUGUUUAACAGUCUAUCAACAAUCAACAUCGUGUACCAAAUAGCAGCUAGUCUCGGCGCAGCAGCAAGGUUCUUUCUUGCUCAAUUUCCCAAUUUGGCAACAUAUCUAACUAAAAUAUCUCUCUGUUGUUAUUGUUGACUUGUUGUUGCAGUACAAGAGUUGCAAACGAAUUAGGAGCUGGAAAACCGAAACAAGCUCGAAUGGCGGUUUACACAGUGAUGGUCAUUACAGGUGUAGAAUCAAUAAUGGUGAGCGCAAUAGUUUUUAGUGCAAGAAACGUUUAUGGUUACCUAUUUAGCUCUGAAACCGAAGUUGUGGAUUAUGAAAGAUCAAUGGUUCCAUUGGUUGCUUUAUCGGUCAUAUUCGAUGCUUUUCACGCAGUUCUUGCGGGUUAGAUUCUUCUCUAGCUCCUUCAAUAAUGUCAAAGUCAUGAAUGAAGUUAAUGAUUAAUACUGUGUUAUUGGUGGAACUGCAUUUGCAGGUGUGACUAGAGGAUCAGGGAGGCAAGAUAUUGGGGCUUACGUAAACCUAGCAGCAUACUAUCUCUUUGGGAUACCAACUGCUAUAAUAUUAGCUUUUAGGUUUAAAAUGAGAGGAAGAGGAAUCUGGAUUGGGAUCACAGUUGGGUCCUUUGUGCAAGCUGUUUUGCUCGGUUUUCUUGUCAUCCUUACCAACUGGAAACAACAGGUAAGUAAAGUGAGACUGAUGUCCUUUUAAUUUCUUGUUUUUAGGGUUAGUAUAUAAAAAAAUUGAUUAGUGGAUAUGAAAAAGUGUUAUGUAUUGAAUCAUUUGGGCAGGCGAGAGAUGCGAGAGAAAGACUGAUGGGUGAGGGGUUUGAAGAUAAAGAAAGUGAAGAUCAUGAAGAGAUCAGCUAAACCAAGAGACUUCAUACACAUGAUAUAAAUGAUAUUUUCAUAAUAGUAAUGUUGUUUUCGAUAAUAGUAAUGACUAAAGAGGAAAUGUAUGUUCACAUGUACGUGCACAUGAGUUUUGGCCUCUAUUGUGUCUCCAUAUACAUUAUAUGAUCUUCCCCCUUAUAGAAGGAAGAUAAUCAUUAAUCAUAUGAUAUUGAGCAAAGUUUUUAAAAAGUUAUUAAGAGAAUUCUAAGGAUUAAUGCUCAUAAGAAAUAUGACGAUUACACAACUAGGAACUUGUAGAUUCACAAACCCUUACUUUUGUCAGAAUUGCAUGUAGUAGUUGUGAUCUCUAUAGUACUCCUCUAUGUCGUCCGCUAACAAUAUGGUCCUAGUCCAGAGAGCUUAGACCAUCUCCAAAGGGGGAUUUAAACUGGGGUUCUAAGGUUUAAAAUUAGAUUUAAAUCAAAAUACCUAAUAUUGCUUCGAACAGUGUUCUGAACUAAGGAGUUUUAGAACCCCUAAGAGAUGCUAACGUGUCAGCCGCUGAGUGCUUCCUACAUUAUCGCAGUUUGAUGGUAUUUGUGGUCUUCAAAUGUUUGGUUUCUUCUCACCCUAUAUAGUUCAGGUAACAAAUCUAAAUCCAAGUCUUGUUCUUCUUCAUUCAAACCUAUCCAUGGUGUUAGAGCAACCCAACGGUAAAGAAACCCAAUUGGAGUUUUUAGUAAUAAAGUAAUAAUAUUUUAGAAAUAAUUUAGUUUUAUAUUUAAAUUUAAAUUUUAAAUAAAAAAUGGACCACUAAAUGAAGAACAUGUGUAGAGACAAUUUUUUAUGAGUACCUUGUUUUAGAAACGAUUCUAUGUCUCUCUCUUCCUUUUUCAUUUUUUUUAUUUGUUUAAUAAUUUAGGUACUCCUAAAAAACCACCAUUGUGGAUGGUCUUAACUCUUACACAACUUAAUCCUCCUCUACAGGCCACUGAAGUUCUUGACCCAAACCAUCUCGUUGAAUACUGGAACCACAAGAACCAAACUACAUGAGACUCAAAAGAUCACUUCAUAUCAUCAAACUGUUCCGUAAGUUUAACCCAAAGGACGGAGACUAUCAGCUAAAGCAGUAUCUUCGUUACCAAUUAAUCGGCGUAGUGAGAAAUCAAGCGACGAAGCAGCAGCACACACCAAGAAUCAUUUGACAUGGCAACAUAUUCCAAUGACCAAGAUCAUUCUCAUCCUUUAUCAUGUCUUGUGAUCAUAGCUUCUGUUUCUGCUGUGUAUUGAUUUGUGACCUUAAUUCAACACUAUCGAACUUUUUCUUCAUUACUAUCGCAACAUGGUCCGAUGAGGCGAUGACUAAAAUGUUCAUACAUUUUGCUAUACAUUUUGGGGCUGUUUACACCUAAGAGCAUCUUUAUCGGUGGUUUCUUAGGCUAAAUCUUAGGGUAUAAUGAAUUAAAAAUAAAUGAGAAAAGAGUGAUAAUGUUAAGUAACGUUCCUUAACUAAGAAACAUUUAUUCACCUAAGAGGCGGACAUGUGUCAAUAAAUGCCCGAUUUUAUUGUCUUUUUCACGUUUCUCUUUCUCUCUCUCUUUCGCGAUGUCACUGAAGAGAUGAAAACCAGAAACAAUUUCAAGCAAAUCGGAGGUAUCGCCGACGUUAAUUAUCUCCGGCCGUCGUUCCGGCGUUAGCUCAUCAUCUCCACUGAUGCUGGUUGUCGAGGGCGUCUUCGGUUCACCAAAUCGGCGAUUCCUGGCUUACGAAAUCGGGGAUAAUUGCAGGAGAUCUUCGAGUUUCGAUUCGAAUCGGUGACAAUCGGUUUGUCAAGGUAGGAAUGUCUCUCUACUUGUGUGAAUUGAUGUGAUUUUAGGUUUUUAAAAUUAGGGUUCGUCGGAUUUGGAAAGUAGGGUUCGUGGAAUUGGGGAAAAAGGAAUUCAUUUUCUUUGUAUAAUCUGGGUAAUUUGAAUCAUGAAUGAAUGUCUCUAUGUAUUCUUCUAUAGCAACAAAAAUCUUAAUCUGGGUAAGAUUCUUCCAUUUUGUUUAUAGUCAGUGUUGUUUAUUUGUCUCUAUGUAUUUUUAUAUAGCAACAAAAAUUGUCAUGUGAAUGGAAAAAAAUGAUACAUUGUAUAUUGAAGUUUUGAACCCAUUUAUUUUUCAUCUUUGAUGCGUCUGACUUCCAAGUCUUCUUCCCAUGUUGCGAGCAAAGUCUUCUUCUGUUAAGACUUCAAAUAGCUCCAAUAGACAUAUAAAAUAAAUGCUUUGUUAGAAAACGAUAUACAAUUAUUAUUUUGUUUGACGGGAAAACUAUAGUUACUUAGAUAAGGGGAUACAUGCUGCUGAGUACCACUCAAUUGUGAGAAUGCCUUUUGGUGAAUUUUCCAGGAAAUGCAAAGAUCUCAGUAGUAUUGGUGACACAGGUAAUGUACUGUUUUUUCUGUAGGUGUGUCACAGUGAGGAUUGUGAAAUGGUCUAUUGAGUUUUAUCUAAUCAUGAUUCUGGUUUUGAUGUUAUGAUUUUGCAGUUGUGAUCUCUGUGACAAAAGAAGGGGUGAAGUUUUCAACAGUAGGCCAAGAUCUUUCACUUCGGAUCUAUCAGUUUGAUUGGGAAUAAAGCUGCAAGGAAAAAGAUCAUGAGUAUCUGAAAUUUAGUUGAUGUUAGAAAGUUUGGAGACCACAAGUACUCAUUUUAUGCUUUGUACACCAUGUAUCAUUGGAUUGCUUUGCUAUAAAUAUCACCAUGUAUUACACUAUAUUUUUCAUUCCCUUUUGUUAUCUUUUAUUCAAAUCAAUACAAAACUCUCUUUCUCUUUUCUUCUUACAAUCUGAAGAACAAAAAUCUAAACCAACGAGAGUUCUUGUUCUUUAAACAACCCUUGUUUUUUGAGUUAAGCCUUGUUCUUUUCACAAGACUUCAUAAACCAAAUCCAAGCAUUCAUAUUUUCUUUUCACACCAAUGUCUUGUUCUCAAACCAAAUCCAAACCUUGUUCUUUUCUUUUUACUAAAAAAAAUCCAAAAACAAUUCUACUUCAAACCAAAAAAAUCCAUCACUAUAUAUUUAUGUUAUAAAUUGUAUCUCAUGUAUUAAUUUUUUAAUUUGCAACAAUUAUUAAAUGUUCUAUAAUUAUAAAUUUUAUUUUUAUAUUAAUAACUUUUUUUAAGAACCACAUGUUAAGAGCCUACCAUUAAUCAUACAAAAAUCUUAACUCAAAAAUACUAUCUCUUAACAAUCACUUUCACAAAUAAAUUACUUAAAUACUAGAUUUUAACCCGCGGUACACCGCGGGAUGAUUUAAUUUUAAAGUUAGUAUAAAAGUAUUUUGUAAAUUGUAUCUCCUUAUAACAUAUUUAUUUAUAUUAUAGUUUACAAUUGUUAUUAAGUAACGGUAUACCACGAGUCCACGAGAUAAUUAUUAAUAAACUGAGGAUUUAACCCGUAUUAAAGCGGUAUAUAAAUAUUGAUUCAAAUUCAUCCGCCAUAUAAAUCAUUUCCGAAAUAUAACCCGUUCCGUAAUUUCUUAACCCGUCCUGUGAUUUGUAUUAAAAAAAAUAAGGAUUAAAUCCGUAUUGAAGCGGCGGAUUAAUGAUAUUUUAAUCUUUUUAUUAUUGUUGAUUCAAAAACCCGUCCCGCUAAACCCAUCCCGCCAAAAAACUCAUUUAUUUUAUUAAUGUUUUUAUUUAUGAUAUGAUUCUGAAUCAUUGUCUAAAUAUUUUAAUCGAUGUAGAACGUUGAACACACAUUUUCGUCAAUUGGAUAAUAUAUGUCCGUUUUAAAAAUUUCAAAUCACAGUAUAUGCAGAAAAAAAAUUGAUUUUUUUUUUACUUUAUGUAUUAUAUGAUGAUUCAAAACAGUUAAAAACAAAUCAAACAAAGAUGAUAGGAGAAUCAUAAUUAUAAAUCUUAAUCAAAUCUUCUAAAAAUCUAAAUUAUUAAAUAUGGAAUAUCCGGUGUAUGAGUUGGGUUAAAUAUAACCCGACCCAACAAAUUUUUUGUGAAGAAAUUUUUAAAAUGGGUCGGAUAUCCGAUAUACCCGAAAGCUUUUUUACCCAUCCGUCACAAAAAGUGCUGCGAUUAUACUAGUAUAGAUUCCUAAGAUUAAUUUCUAAGAGACCACCUAUAAUCACGCUCUAAGAUGCUUUUAAAAAAGUUUGAAUCGGUUAAAGCAAAUUAAAGAAAGCUUUUUUUUUUUUGUUUGUGUUUGUAGGAGUAGCAUGAUACAAUAGGCAACGACGCUAAAUUCCAAAUGAAAAUUUACUUUAAACUUUGAUGGAGGGAAAAAAAACGUUCAAAAGAGCAAACAAUUAUCGAAAAACAGUGAGAAAACACGAGGAGUGGAUUAAAAUUUUAGAUUCGCUCACAACUUCACAUGAUAAACGGAAGCAUUUUUUAAAAAACAUUUUAGUGCCUUGUAGAGAAAGAAACAACCAUAUGUUACUAUAUAAUCCCCGUGAUCUUAGGGGAAGAAGAAGCAGAGAGAAUGGAUUCGGUGGAGAAGGGAUUGCUUGUGGUUAACGACGGAGAACAAGUAAACACGAAAGAUGUUUUUUUACGGGAGAUGAAGAAACUUAGUUACAUUGCCGGUCCGAUGAUUGCGGUGCACUCGUCUAUGUAUGUUCUUCAGGUGAUCUCGAUAAUGAUGGUUGGUCAUCUCGGUGAGCUUUUCCUCUCUAGCACCGCCAUUGCUGUUUCUUUCUGCGGCGUCACUGGUUUCAGCGUCGUCGUAUGUCUCUUUCUUGAUCGCUAUCUCUCUCUUUAUUUACGUUAAUUAGCUCAAGAUAGAUUCUAAAUUGUUAAUCGCACAGUUUGGAUUGGCUAGUGCAUUGGAGACUUUGUGUGGUCAAGCUAAUGGAGCUAAGCAAUUCGAGAAGCUUGGUUAUCAUACUUACACAGGGAUUGUCUCUUUGUUUCUUGUGUGUAUUCCUUUGUCUGUGCUAUGGAGUUACAUGGGUGAUAUACUUUCUCUUAUUGGACAAGAUCCUAUGGUUGCUCAACAAGCAGGAAAGUAUGCAACUUGGCUCAUACCCGCGCUCUUUGGUUACGCUACUUUGCAACCGCUUGUUCGGUUUUUCCAAGCGCAGAGUCUGAUUUUGCCUUUGAUUAUGAGCUCAGUCUCUUCUCUCUGUGUCCACGUUGUCCUCUGUUGGAGCUUGGUCUUGGAAGCCUCGGUGCAGCUAUUGCGAUCGGCGUUUCUUACUGGUUGAACGUGACUGUUCUUGGAUUAUACAUGACGUUUUCUUCCAGCUGUAGCAAGAGCCGUGCAACUAUCUCCAUGAGUUUGUUUAAAGGAAUGAGAGAGUUUUUCCGGUUUGGAAUCCCAUCUGCGUCUAUGAUUUGGUAUAUCAACUUCUCUUCAUGCCUCUUUUGGUUUAGUCAUAGAGUUCUUGACAUGAAUCCAUUUGGUGUUGUUGGAUUAGCCUCGAGUGGUGGUCAUUCGAAUUUCUGCUCUUACUCUCUGGAAUCUUACCAAAUCCG